AGGUGAGGGAGAGGCUGUGAGAUUAGGAGGAGGCUUGUUCUCCUCGCAAUCCCAUAUUAUGUGAUUCAGUGUUGCUAGUUCCCCACAGAAUCUACAAAGUGGGCCUAGCCGCGCGGAGAGCGUGGCAUGUG
rnacentral:lncRNA from 1 species